UAGACGUAUUUACGUCAAAAACCUUUCAACCACCUAACACGGCUGGUAGCCCAAGACGCACUUAUUAUAAUUUGCUUUCUCUGUUGUAACGCCGUGUGGACUAACAUGUUGAUGCCAACGUUUCGCAGGAACAUAAUGACUCCAUCGUUAGGGCUAAAUCCACGUACAAGACCUGGGGGCCUUACAAUUGUGAAGGCUAACAUCGACAUCUUCACAACCUUGAGAACCAUAUCUCUCAUUACUGCUCCUUCGGAACCCAUUAGCGAACUGUAUAGCAUUACCAGUUCGCAUGAAUCUCAGUCUCGGGUUCAGUAAUGUGUCCCUACGCACUGAUUGAUAAAACACUGGUAUAUCACUAUGAAUUUCAAAGUUUUCAGCUACAACUCGGAGUAUAAGUAACGAAACCGAAGUUCCUGGUCAUGCCGAAGAGAGAAUGGCAAUUGUCACUUGAGGAAAAAUAAUAAAACAACGGGAAGCAGAAGGAUAAGAAUAAGAAUGAAGAGAAGAAAUGUUGGCCUCAAUAUUUGAUGUAUUACAAGAUUAACAGCAGCUGCCACUUUAAACAGCACUGGGUUUCUUGAUACAAGAGUGGACAUCGAAUGGCAGUGAAGUACACAUAUUUUUCAAACGUAUUAUUUGCUAUUUUAAAUACCUUAAUAACUUGAUGUGCUCUCAAUGCGCACACAAGUCUUGUCUGCUGUUUAGCGUAUUUCAUUGGCCUUGAGGUUUAUUUAAGAUACAAAUAUUUUUUGCGAUGUUAAUCACGCUACAAAUGAGUUAAUCACAAUGCACACAGUUCUAACUUGUACUGUACCUUGAAUUUAUUUAAAUAUUCGCUGCAUCGAAAAAUGUUUCAGAUGUCAACUGUAGGUCUUUAUUGAGAAACGCAGAUAAAAUGAAACCCUACUACUACACACAAACUGGCUGGACAGCUGAUGCACUGCUUGAAAACGGUACAAUGUACUCUGGACCAAACCCUGAGCCAGUUGAAUCCAGUCCACAUCUUGACACACUGCUUCAACGGUAUUUACGUUAUCGGCACAGACCAAAAGCUGAUGCGUUAUAUUCAGUUUAAAUUAGCCCGACUGUUAGUUACCUUGGGUUUUCGUACUAACGUACUGAAAAGCGAAGUUGAAAAAGGCAAAGAUACGCGCAAUCAAUUAAAAACUGAGGUAAAUGCUCCUGCGAAAUGCAACCGACGUCACAACCCAGAAGUCCGAGAGAGACGAGAGAAAAUAAAUUACUUCGGCAAAGAUAUUAAUUCCGAUUUGCUUCGCGUAAAACCGAGGUGUUGUCUUUCGACUGGUAACUGUUCGUCAAGCGAUUUCUAGACUCGUAACUAAAAUAUGAAACAUUUGUAGGAAAGAACAAAGUCUAUAUCGGUAAUAAAAUGGCAUUAUUUCUCUAUUGUGUAAAAAGUGGAAAUACGAAGAUUUCUGU